UGAUCCUGGCUCAGGACGAACGCUGGCGGCGUGCUUAACACAUGCAAGUCGAACGAUGAACCACUUCGGUGGGGAUUAGUGGCGAACGGGUGAGUAACACGUGGGCAAUCUGCCCUGCACUCUGGGACAAGCCCUGGAAACGGGGUCUAAUACCGGAUAUGACCCUCGCAGGCAUCUGUGAGGGUGUAAAGCUCCGGCGGUGCAGGAUGAGCCCGCGGCCUAUCAGCUUGUUGGUGAGGUAACGGCUCACCAAGGCGACGACGGGUAGCCGGCCUGAGAGGGCGACCGGCCACACUGGGACUGAGACACGGCCCAGACUCCUACGGGAGGCAGCAGUGGGGAAUAUUGCACAAUGGGCGAAAGCCUGAUGCAGCGACGCCGCGUGAGGGAUGACGGCCUUCGGGUUGUAAACCUCUUUCAGCAGGGAAGAAGCGAAAGUGACGGUACCUGCAGAAGAAGCGCCGGCUAACUACGUGCCAGCAGCCGCGGUAAUACGUAGGGCGCAAGCGUUGUCCGGAAUUAUUGGGCGUAAAGAGCUCGUAGGCGGCUUGUCGCGUCGGUUGUGAAAGCCCGGGGCUUAACCCCGGGUCUGCAGUCGAUACGGGCAGGCUAGAGUUCGGUAGGG
rnacentral:rRNA from 1 species